GGAUUGGCACAUCGGUCGUGCCUUAAGGGGCAUGAACUGGUGUAGCCAAUUUCUCACCUUCUGGAGAACCGCGAUGUCCUUAAUUGGGUGCCGCGAGGAACCAGGACCUUUACUUUGAAAAAAUUAGAGUGUUUAAAGCAGACUAUCGUCUGAAUACAUUAGCAUGGAAUAAUGAAAUAGGACGGACUGAUUCUAUUUCGUUGGUUUCUAGGAUCACCGUA
rnacentral:rRNA from 1 species